UCAAUUUUCUAACACGAGUGUGGUUCUCAUCUUUUUAUGACUGGAACAUGCACCUCAAGUAAAAUUCACGUUACGUGACAAUAAGGAGGUCUUAGUAAGUCAUGCUGCCACAUUAAAUAACCUCAAUAGGGUUCUUUAGUCACCGUUGUGACCCAAAGGAUUUACUGAAGCGGUCAAAGAAUGUCACAGUCGUGGCUCAGAACCUGUUACCUGAACCGUGCGCUCUCUCUCGGGGGUUUUGUUUGCCCCGUCGCUGCCUCAAAACAUCGGUUCAAACGUCAGCUUUUCUCUGUUGUUAGCAGACGAUGUGCUACCACGGCUGGAAUCGAGGUACGGGUCAGGUUUGCCCCAAGCCCGACAGGUUUCUUGCACCUGGGAGGCCUCCGUACUGCUCUCUACAACUACAUCUUUGCCAAAAAGCAUGGCGGCUCCUUUAUCUUGCGCCUGGAGGACACAGAUCAAAGCAGGCUGGUGCCAGGGGCUGCAGAAGCCAUUGAGGACAUGCUAGAGUGGGCAGGUAUACCUCCAGAUGAGAGUCCAGGCCGUGGCGGGCCAUUUGGGCCGUACUUGCAGUCAAAAAGAUUGGACCUUUACAGACAGACAGCGUCGCAAUUAGUGGGAAGCGGCAAUGCGUAUCAUUGUUUCUGCACACCUCAAAGGCUGGAGCUGCUAAAAAAAGAAGCUCUGAGAACCGGACAGACUCCAAGGUAUGACAAUCGAUGUCGACACCUUCGGACUGAGCAGGUCCAGGAAAAGCUGGCACAGGGAACGCCUCAUGUGAUCAGGUUCCGUCUUGAAGAGGGAGUGGAGCCCUUUGAGGAUCUUAUUUUCGGGUGGAAUCGUCACGAGGUGGCACAGGUGGAAGGCGAUCCUGUGGUUAUAAAAGCAGACGGUUUCCCCACCUACCACCUUGCCAACAUAGUAGACGACCACUACAUGAAGAUCAGUCACGUACUGCGAGGCUCCGAGUGGCUGAUCUCCACCUCUAAGCAUCUCCUUAUGUACCGCGCCCUCGGAUGGCGGCCACCCACUUUCGGGCAUUUGCCGCUACUGACCAACAAGGACGGCAGCAAACUGUCAAAGAGGCAGGGGGACAUAUUUAUCCAAAGGUUCAAGGAAGACGGCGUCCUGCCAGAGGCUCUGCUGGACAUCACCACCAACUGUGGUUCAGGAUUCAGCAACAAUCGACUGGGGCGGACUUUAAAUGAGCUGAUUUCUGAGUUUAACCCCUCAACGAUCACGACACACUCUGCUUUGCUCGACCUUGAAAAAAUUCCAGAGUUUAACAAAAUCCACCUUCAGCAUCGAAUCGAAGACGAGCAGCAGUGCAAUUUUCUGAUAAAGGAUCUGCAGGGACAAAUCCGUCAGGCCUUCUCGGGCGAGAUUCAGGAUGAAGAUGUCCUGCAGGAGGAUUACAUCAGGCGGGUUCUACAUUUACGGAGGGGUCACAUAUCCUAUCUGCGGGAGCUCGUGAGCCCAGCUUACUCAUACCUGUGGGUUCGUCCUUCCUUCUCCGGUCAACAGGUGGCAGUGCUUUCCACGGAGGCCAAGCAAAUUGCCACACUAGCAAUCAAAUUAGCAGAGGAACGAGGCGAGGAGGAAACCAAUCAAAUCAGUAAAGAUUUGAAGAUGCUGGCUAAGCAAACCAAAAGCACCAAAUACCGAGAUGUGAUGAGACUCUUGCGAUUGACUCUCAGUGGACUGCAGCAAGGACCCAGCGUUGCGGAGAUGAUGGUAGCCUUGGGGCCUGCAGAGACUGUCUAUCGACUCAAGAAGCUUCUUCUGCUCCAUGAGACUGACUAGAUAACCAUGAAGUCCUUUGCUCAGAAUGAGGCUUUCUGUAGGAUUUUUUUUUUUGUACCGAUGCUAAUUAUCAAGGGUGUAACGGUACAUGUAUUUGUAUUGAACCGUUUCGGUACGUGGUGCUCUUUUCGGAGCGGAGGCGUACCGAACGAGUUUGACGUAAUGUAACCCUUACUUUUUAAGGCUGUGAGUCGAUCGGAUUACAGUUUCUUUGUGUAGAUUAUAUUUACUCCGUCUUCUCUAUUAUAAUGAGGACCAACACGGUAGGACAGUAUACAGUAAUUACCCAGAAACGUCAACGGCGCGACAACGUGGCCGCCGCAAGAACGCAGUGAAACGCGGGCAUUAAAGUCAAUCAGCGAAUGCACACCAGUCGCAGUGCGGCCACGUGUUAAACGCGUCCCAGAAGCGGCUCAACACGACGCACGCGAAAAGAACGGCAGAGUUUAUUAUUUGACGCGAGACGCGACCCUCCUGCGUCAAUACUACUACCGGUAGCUAGAAUCGGGCAGACCGGAAGUCACUCGUGUCAAAAUGCGGUGGAUCCGGUGGAUUUUCAAACUAAUAUGCAAUCGUAACCCACUUUUUGAGUCCAUCAGAUCUCUUGAGUGGUAGAUCGGGGCACAGUUGACUUGUCUUUGUUGAUUUACUGCUGUCUUCUCUGCUAUAAUAAUAACCAACACGGCCCUGUGUUCAAUACAAAACCCUCCUACCACAACAAAACAAGUAGGAACUAAUAUUCACAUACACUGUAAAUGCUAACAUUCAAAUUAAUUAAAUGUGAUAAGUGAACUAAACUCAAUUUUCAUCAACCUGUUGUGAACACUACUUUUAAAUAAGUAAGUAGUAAUUUGGGGUUGGAGAACUUGCUUAACUUGAUAUAUCCCAGUUAAGUCAAAUUAGAAAAAAUAAUUUCUUGUACCCAGUGUCCUUUGGGCGUUCUAUCAGACAUGCGCAGAUCUGCCCUGCCCACUUUCGCGCUCUUUCCAACACCUUUCUCAGUUAUUUUCGCCAUUGUGGGUUUACUUGUCCUCAGCACACUGAUUUGGCACUGCUGCAAUCGUCACACUUUUUCUGUUACAAACUGACCCGGCCCCUCAUCAGAGAAGGGAAAAGUCAUGUGGCCUUCACAGGAAAAGGUUUGGGGACCCCUGCUUUAGAGUGUUUGUCAUCUGCCCUUCCAUUUGCUUUUCUUCAUGUGCAGUGCUCCCCCUCCAUGUUUGAUCAAACUGCACUGAUAAUUUGAAAUUGUUUUAAAAUGCAUUAAUCGCAAAAAUCAGAGGACUAGAUCACAUUUCCCCCUGUUAUUUCACCACUUUAACUUUGGUCUAACCUAAUAUAGGAAUACAGAUAGAAAGAGUGCAGAGAUCACACUCGACGCCAUAACAACCUGGUGUGUUUAAGGUUGGUCAUUUAUGUGCCUAUAUUUUGAAAUUGUUGCCUUAAUUUUGUGUUCUUUUUCACCAUCCCCCAAUCAGGCUGAAGCAAAUGGUCAAAAGUCCACACAUACCUCAGUCUCAGCAAUUACAGGUCAACCAAAGCAGUAUUCUCUAAUGCAGUGGACUUGCAAGUACUGCACAUUUUCUGCUGAAAAGAGCCUACUUGCUUAAGCAUUACCGCUUAAAACAUGGAUACCACACUCGGACAUCCCUACUCCCAUGUCUUCAUAAGGACUGCCUCUGCACAUUUAAAUCUUUUAAUGCACUCAAAGUACACCUAUCGACAUGGCACUCUCAAAAAGAUGCAGGCAAAAGUGGAGAAACUGCAUUUGACCGUCAGUUGUGCAACUUUGUGGAGCCCUGCUCAGAAGCAGACUUCUUUACCCAUUUGCGAGGACAUCUUAAGCUGAGGCAAAUGGUUACUUGCCCAUAUCAAGACUAACUUUCAGAGCAGUAUUUAUUCGACCUUCACUGCACACAAAAGCAAAGAAAUGUGAAAUGUGUUUGAGCCAUAGUGUGGGUAGGACAUUUGUGUCUAAAUCAUUCAAUCCCAAUAAAAGUUGCUUUAAUAAAAAAACUUAUUUUUAAUCAAAGAAAAAGAACCUUUUGCAAAAAUAUAUAUUUUUGAAAUUAUAUAUAUUUUUAAAUAUAUAUAUUUUUUAUUGACGUGUCACUUUUUUUUAAAGGAAAAAGUUUAAAACUUUUUUUUUAAAGUGGAAAAAGUUUUGAACGCAUUUCUUUUUUUCUUUUU